GGGUUGUGAGGUUAAGCGACUAAGCGUACACGGUGGAUGCCACGGCAGUCAGAGGCGAUGAAGGGCGUGCUAAUCUGCGAUAAGCGCCGGUAAGGUGAUAUGAACCGUUAUAACCGGCGAUACCCGAAUGGGGAAACCCAGUGUGAUUCGUCACACUAUCAUUAACUGAAUCCAUAGGUUAAUGAGGCGAACCGGGGAACUGAAACAUCUAAGUACCCCGAGGAAAGAAAUCAACCGAGAUUCCCCCAGUAGCGGCGAGCGAACGGGGAGGAGCCCAGAGCCUGAAUCAGCAUGUGUGUUAGUGGAAGCGUCUGGAAAGGCGCGCGAUACAGGGUGACAGCCCCGUACACAAAAGCGCAUGUGCUGUGAGCUCGAUGAGUAGGGCGGGACACGUGGUAUCCUGUCUGAAUAUGGGGGACCAUCCUCCAAGGCUAAAUACUCCUGACUGACCGAUAGUGAACCAGUACCGUGAGGGAAAGGCGAAAAGAACCCCGGCGAGGGAGUGAAAAAGAACCUGAAACCGUGUACGUACAAGCAGUGGGAGCACCCUUCGGGGUGUGACUGCGUACCUUUUGUAUAAUGGGUCAGCGACUUAUAUUCUGUAGCAAGGUUAACCGUAUAGGGGAGCCGCAGGGAAACCGAGUCUUAAUUGGGCGUUAAGUUGCAGGGUAUAGACCCGAAACCCGGUGAUCUAGCCAUGGGCAGGUUGAAGGUUGGGUAACACUAACUGGAGGACCGAACCGACUAAUGUUGAAAAAUUAGCGGAUGACCUGUGGCUGGGGUGAAAGGCCAAUCAAACCGGGAGAUAGCUGGUUCUCCCGAAAGCUAUUUAGGUAGCGCCUCGUGAAUUCAUCUCCGGGGUAGAGCACUGUUUCGGCUAGGGGGCCAUCCCGGCUUACCAACCCGAUGCAAACUGCGAAUACCGGAGAAUGUUAUCACGGGAGACACACGGCGGGUGCUAACGUCCGUCGUGAAGAGGGAAACAACCCAGACCGCCAGCUAAGGUCCCAAAGUCAUGGUUAAGUGGGAAACGAUGUGGGAAGGCCCAGACAGCCAGGAUGUUGGCUUAGAAGCAGCCAUCAUUUAAAGAAAGCGUAAUAGCUCACUGGUCGAGUCGGCCUGCGCGGAAGAUGUAACGGGGCUAAACCAUGCACCGAAGCUGCGGCAGCGACGCUUAUGCGUUGUUGGGUAGGGGAGCGUUCUGUAAGCCUGCGAAGGUGGCCUGUGAGGGUUGCUGGAGGUAUCAGAAGUGCGAAUGCUGACAUAAGUAACGAUAAAGCGGGUGAAAAGCCCGCUCGCCGGAAGACCAAGGGUUCCUGUCCAACGUUAAUCGGGGCAGGGUGAGUCGACCCCUAAGGCGAGGCCGAAAGGCGUAGUCGAUGGGAAACGGGUUAAUAUUCCCGUACUUGGUGUUACUGCGAAGGGGGGACGGAGAAGGCUAUGUUGGCCGGGCGACGGUUGUCCCGGUUUAAGCGUGUAGGUGUGUGUUCGGUAAAUCCGGUUCACUUUAACACUGAGGCGUGACGACGAGGCACUACGGUGCUGAAGCAACAAAUGCCCUGCUUCGGAAAAGCCUCUAAGCAUCAGGUAACAUCAAAUCGUACCCCAAACCGACACAGGUGGUCAGGUAGAGAAUACCAAGGCGCUUGAGAGAACUCGGGUGAAGGAACUAGGCAAAAUGGUGCCGUAACUUCGGGAGAAGGCACGCUGACACGUAGGUGAAGUGAUUUACUCAUGGAGCUGAAGUCAGUCGAAGAUACCAGCUGGCUGCAACUGUUUAUUAAAAACACAGCACUGUGCAAACACGAAAGUGGACGUAUACGGUGUGACGCCUGCCCGGUGCCGGAAGGUUAAUUGAUGGGGUCAGCGCAAGCGAAGCUCCUGAUCGAAGCCCCGGUAAACGGCGGCCGUAACUAUAACGGUCCUAAGGUAGCGAAAUUCCUUGUCGGGUAAGUUCCGACCUGCACGAAUGGCGUAAUGAUGGCGGCUGUCUCCACCCGAGACUCAGUGAAAUUGAACUCGCUGUGAAGAUGCAGUGUACCCGCGGCAAGACGGAAAGACCCCGUGAACCUUUACUAUAGCUUGACACUGAACAUUGAGCCUUGAUGUGUAGGAUAGGUGGGAGGCUUUGAAGCGUGGACGCCAGUCUGCGUGGAGCCGACCUGAAAUACCACCCUUUAAUGUUUGAUGUUCUAACGUGGACCCGUAAUCCGGGUUGCGGACAGUGUCUGGUGGGUAGUUUGACUGGGGCGGUCUCCUCCUAAAGAGUAACGGAGGAGCACGAAGGUUGGCUAAUCUGGUCGGACAUCAGGAGGUUAGUGCAAUGGCAUAAGCCAGCUUGACUGCGAGCGUGACGGCGCGAGCAGGUGCGAAAGCAGGUCAUAGUGAUCCGGUGGUUCUGAAUGGAAGGGCCAUCGCUCAACGGAUAAAAGGUACUCCGGGGAUAACAGGCUGAUACCGCCCAAGAGUUCAUAUCGACGGCGGUGUUUGGCACCUCGAUGUCGGCUCAUCACAUCCGGGGCUGAAGUAGGUCCCAAGGGUAUGGCUGUUCGCCAUUUAAAGUGGUACGCGAGCUGGGUUUAGAACGUCGUGAGACAGUUCGGUCCCUAUCUGCCGUGGGCGCUGGAGAACUGAGGGGGCUGCUCCUAGUACGAGAGGACCGGAGUGGACGCAUCACUGGUGUUCGGGUUGUCAUGCCAAUGGCACUGCCCGGUAGCUAAAUGCGGAAGAGAUAAGUGCUGAAAGCAUCUAAGCACGAAACUUGCCCCGAGAUGAGUUCUCCCUGAGACUUAAAGUCUCCUGAAGGAACGUUGAAGACGACGACGUUGAUAGGCCGGGUGUGUAAGCGCAGCGAUGCGUUGAGCUAACCGGUACUAAUGAACCGUGAGGCUUAACCUUACAACGCCGAAG
rnacentral:rRNA from 1 species